UAUUUAUGAUGAUCCUGUCCUGAACCUGAAUUCCUGUUCAAAAAACAUAUUUGAAUCUGGCUUAUGAGAU